rnacentral:rRNA from 1 species
CCUACGGGUGGCAGCAGUGAGGGAUAUUGGUCAAUGGGGGAAACCCUGAACCAGCAACGCCGCGUGAGGGAAGACGGUUUUCGGAUUGUAAACCUCUGUCCUCCGUGAAGAUGAUGACGGUAGCUGAGGAGGAAGCUCCGGCUAACUACGUGCCAGCAGCCGCGGUAAUACGUAGGGAGCAAGCGUUGUCCGGAUUUACUGGGUGUAAAGGGUGCGUAGGCGGCUUUGCAAGUCAGAAGUGAAAUCCAUGGGCUUAACCCAUGAACUGCUUUUGAAACUGCAGAGCUUGAGUGGGGUAGAGGUAGGCGGAAUGCCCGGUGUAGCGGUGAAAUGCGUAGAGAUCGGGAGGAACACCAGGGGCGAAGGCGGCCUGCGGGGCUCUAACUGACGCUGAGGCACGAAAGCGUGGGUAGCAAACAGGAUUAGAUACCCUAGGAGUC